AGGACCUCGCUGGAGAAGCAGGGCACGUGCAUGCAUACGCUCUCCUCUCCUCUCCAUGGACAGGAGAAGCUAGUAUAUUGCACGUGUUCUCCUUCUCCAUCAAGGUCUU
rnacentral:pre_miRNA from 1 species